rnacentral:vault_RNA from 1 species
GUGCUGGCUUUGUCGAGUGGGUACUUCGCAUUUGCAACCUAUUCAAAUUGGAUUGAAUGGUCGCGGGUUCGACCCCGGCGUACGGCCGGGACUCGAACUCGUAGCUAUCUAUACCCACUGACGCCAUCCAGCACUUUU